UGUGACACAGGGAGAGCACCGGUGACCUUGUCCAUGUUAACAAAAUCCAUUUGUUAACAGAAUACGCUAUACACAAGAAGAGUAAUGAUGAUGAGUUGGAGGCUACAGUCUAACUUUGUGGAGUUGGUCCAAACUCUGCUGGGAGACCCUUCUGAGAGGGAGCACUUCUUCAGGAGGUAUUCCCAGUACAUUACGGCCCUCGGCAUGACACAGCACUGCAGGUACUGGUGUGGGAGUUCCGGGAGACCCAUGGGGCAGCGCACAAUUGGCCCAGUGUCAUCCGGGUUAGGGGAGGGUUUGGCCAGCAGGAAUGUUCUUGUCUCAUCACGCUCUAGCGACUCCAAUGCACACUGACACAAUCGCCAGGUGCACAGUGUUUCCUCCGACACAUUGGUGCGCCUGGCGUCCUUCGCCUCACCCAAGUCCGUACGGGAGUUGCAGCAAUGGGACAAGACUGACUACCAAUUGGAUACCACGAAAUUGGGGAAAAAGAGAUGGGGGAAAAAAAUAUAAAAAAGUAUUGAGUGCUGAUCACUGUUUAAAAAAAAUGUUGGACUGAGGACUAUGGUGAGCUGAAGGAAAACAUCUACCCAAUACGCAAGGCUCUGGCAUGCAGAGAAGGAACAAUACAAAUUAUACAGUGUUGAAUUCAAUGUAAAAUCUAAAGCAUUGAAAAACACUGAAAUGUAAUCGAUUACAAAUUUAUGCAGCACCACCACCAGCAUCAUGGAAACCUGAAAAAGACUAAGUCUCCAUCCAGAAUUAUGUAUUUGAUUUCUCGAAUGAUAAUUCAUUCAUCUGGACUUCUUAAGCAAUCUGGGCUCCUAAUUUUGGCAUUGCAGGUUUGAAUAGUGACAUGGCAUCCCAGGUCCUUUCUCUCUGCACAUUCUCUCAUAUUAUGGUAAAACUCCACCAGCACAUCAGGAUUAAGCAUGGCGGUGAAGACAGGAAUCUUCUACGCUUUAAAGAAUCUGGGACUGAAAGCACCAUUCCUCAAGAAGCACAAAACUCCCCCAGCGUAUCAGCACUAGGCACCAAAGGAAGAACUGGAAGCGCCUCAACUCUAAAGAAUCUGGGAAUGAUAAUUCCCGUCCCACACGCAGCACAAAACUACUUCACCAGCACAUCAGGACUAGGCACCAAGGGGAUGAAUGGAUGAAAGUGUCAUCACUCUGAAGAAUCUGGGACGGAAAACCUUCACUCAAGCACAAAAAUGAUCCCCUAUAGACCCGAUAACAUGACUCUUUAAGUUGCCCUCAUUGUGGGAAUGUUUACCAAAACCUCAACUCCCUGGAAAAACGUCAAGUGGAUAAAUUAGGAAUAGCAAGUCUGUGAGAACAUGACAUUACCUGCAAGCCCAGAAUUUCAUCUAUGGACUGGUCAGGCUCCAUGGUGCUGCAUGAUGCCUUUAAAGCCUGUGGACUGCCAUCACUACAAGUAGAGAGAAAGAAACACAUGUACAGGGAAAUUCUCUGUGACUGUCUCUUCACUCUGGGGCUCAGCUGUCAGGCUACUGGCCGCCAUGUUGGUUCUUCCAGUCCCACCAGAU